rnacentral:rRNA from 1 species
UACGUAGGGCGCGAGCGUUGUCCGGAAUUAUUGGGCGUAAAGAGCUCGUAGGCGGCUUGUCACGUCGGGUGUGAAAGACCGGGGCUUAACUCCGGUUCUGCAUUCGAUACGGGCUAGCUAGAGUGUGGUAGGGGAGAUCGGAAUUCCUGGUGUAGCGGUGAAAUGCGCAGAUAUCAGGAGGAACACCGAUAGCGAAGGCAGCACUCUGGUACGUGACUGACGCUGAGACGCGAAAGCGUGGGGAGCAAACAGG